AAACCCGUGAGGGAAUGUCUGAAGGAAGCCCGAGCGCAAAGGUGUGAGCCAACGUACAGAUAAAAUCGCCGGGAGCGAUUUUGAACAGCCGCAGCCUAGCCCGAAGGGCGAGCCCCAGGGAUGGGGCGAGUAAAUCGCAUAUAAGGCUCAGUCCCCGGGCGAGUCAGCACAAGGUGACGAAGCCCAUCAGGUGCAGGGGAUCGGGUAAAUGCGGCGGUUAUGGACUGAAAGUUUAUGUU
rfam:Thiorhodospira sibirica ATCC 700588 ctg247, whole genome shotgun sequence.